rnacentral:rRNA from 1 species
UGAAGCUACUAAGAGCUUACGGUGGAUGCCUUGGCGCUAAGUGCCGAUGAAGGACGUGGGUCACUGCGAUAAGCUUCGGGGAGUCGUGAACAGGCUUUGAUCCGGAGAUUUCCGAAUGGGGAAACCCACCGUUGCAAACCAACGGUAUCCACAGCUGAAUAUAUAGGUUGUGUGAAGGGAACCUGGGGAACUGAAACAUCUAAGUACCCAGAGGAAAAGAGAUUAUUCCCAAAGUAGUGGCGAGCGAAAUGGGAACAGCCCAAACCGUGACAGCUUGCUGUCGCGGGGUUGUAGGACCUGGCAUAUGGAAGUUACAAAGUAAAUCACUAGCAAAAUGGUGUGGAAAAGCCAACCAUAGAAGGUGAUAGUCCUGUAUGCGAAAGAGAUUUACCUUCCGCUAGGCACCUGAGUACUGCCGGGCACGCUAAUCCGGCAGGAAUCUGGGGGGUCCACCCUCCAAGGCUAAACACACUUAGCGACCGAUAGUGAACAAGUACCGUGAGGGAAAGGUGAAAAGCACCCCGACGAGGGGAGUGAAAUAGAAACUGAAACCGUAAGCUUACAAACAGUCGAAGGGCUAAUGGCGGGUUGGUGCUCCAGUGAAAGCUGGGUGCGCACCGCUAUGCCUGACGGCGUGCCUUUUGGAGAAUGAGCCUGCGAGUUAAUCUUUGUGGCAAGGUUAAGGGAGUAACACCCGGAGCCGUAGCGAAAGCGAGUCUGAACAGGGCGUUCAGUCGCAAGGAUUAGACCCGAAACCAGGUGAGCUACCCAUGGCCAGGGUGAAACGAGCCUAAACUCUCGUGGAGGCCCGAACCUACUAAUGUUGCAAAAUUAGGGGAUGAGCUGUGGGUAGAGGUGAUAUGCCAAACGAACUUGGAGAUAGCUGGUUCUCCCCGAAAUAGCUUUAGGGCUAGCGCCAUGCGUUAAAUAUUGGAGGUAGAGCACUGGAUGGGCAAGGGGGCUUAUAGCUUACCGACCCCAACCAAACUCCGAAUGCCAAUAUUCCAGAGCAUGGUAGUCGGACUACGGGAGAUGAGUUUCGUAGUCGAGAGGGAAAGAGCCCAGACCAUCGGCUAAGGUCCCCAAAUUCAAGCUAAGUGGGAAACGAUGUGGGAUUACUGUGACAACCAGGAGGUUUGCUCAGAAGCAGCCAUCCUUUAAAGAGUGCGUAACAGCUCACUGGUCAAGUGAUCCUGCGCGGAAAAUCUAACGGGGCUAAGCUUGGUACCGAAGCCAUGGGUUCCAGCAUUUGCUGGAGCGGUAGGGGAGCGUUCUGUUUGCUGAGAAGGUUGACCGUAAGGACAGCUGGAGCGGACAGAAGUGAGAAUGCAGGCAUGAGUAGCGUAAAACGUGUGAGAAUCACGUUCGCCGUAAGUCUAAGGUUUCCGACGCCAGGUUGUUCCGCGUCGGGUUAGUCGGGUCCUUAGCCGAGGCCGAGAGGCGUAGGCGAUGGAUAACUGGUCAACAUUCCAGUACCACUUUGAAGGAGCGAUGGGGGGACGCAGCGAGGUAGGCCAGCCUGCGAUUGGUUGUGCAGGUGCACCUUACGUCAGACGUUGAGGUCCGUAGGAAAAUCCGCGGACUGAGUUGAGGUAUGGUGGCGGUCCUCUAAGGCAUAAGUGAGCUAAGCCUUGCUGCCAAGAAAAGCCUCUAAGCGAUGAUUUCAGAGUGCCCGUACCGCAAACCGACACCGGUAGACGAGUAGAGUAUACUAAGGCGAUCGGGAGAACCUUCGUUAAGGAACUAGGCAAAUUAACCCCGUAACUUCGGGAGAAGGGGUGCCUCUUUACGUGAGAGUUUACUUGAGCGUUGAGAGGUCGCAGCGAACAGGCUCUAGUGACUGGUUAACAAAACCACAGGUCUCUGCUAAGCCGUAAGGCGAUGUAUAGGGGCUGACACCUGCCCAGUGCCAGAAGGUUAAAAGGAGGGGUUAGCGUAAGCGAAGCUCUGAAUUGAAGCCCUGGUGAACGGCGGCCGUAACUAUAACGGUCCUAAGGUAGCGAAAUUCCUUGUCGGGUAAGUUCCGACCCGCACGAAUGGUGCAACGAAUUGGGCGCUGUCUCAACGCGAAAUCCGGUGAAAUUGAAGUAUCGGU